rnacentral:rRNA from 1 species
AACGAACGCUGGCGGCGCGCCUAAUACAUGCAAGUCGAGCGAGAAGGUGUAGUAAUACACUUGUAAAGCGGCGAACGGGUGAGGAAUGCAUGGGUAACCUACCCUCGAGUGGGGAAUAACUAGCCGAAAGGUUAGCUAAUACCGCAUACGUUUCCGGAACUUCGGUUUCGGAAAGAAAGCAAUACCGUGGGUAUUGCGCUCCUGGAUGGGCUCAUGUCCUAUCAGCUUGUUGGUGAGGUAACGGCUCACCAAGGCUUCGACGGGUAGCUGGUCUGAGAGGACGAUCAGCCACACUGGCACUGCGACACGGGCCAGACUCCUACGGGAGCAGCAGUAAGGAAUAUUGCGCAAUGGACGAAAGUCUGACGCAGCGACGCCGCGUGGGGGAGUGAAGGUCUUCGGAUUGUAAACCCCUUUCGGGAGGGAAGAUGGAGUGGGGUAACCACUUGGACGGUACCUCCACGAAGCAGCCACGGCUAACUUCGUGCCAGCAGCCGCGGUAA